rnacentral:rRNA from 1 species
GAUCCUGGCUCAGGAUGAACGCUGGCGGCGUGCCUAACACAUGCAAGUCGAACGAAGCAAUUAAGAUGAAGUUUUCGGAUGGAAUCUUGAUUGACUGAGUGGCGGACGGGUGAGCAACGCGUGGAUAACCUGCCUCACACUGGGGGAUAACAGUUAGAAAUGACUGCUAAUACCGCAUAAGCGCACAGUGCCGCAUGGCAGUGUGUGAAAAACUCCGGUGGU